ensembl:lncRNA
AAGAAAGCUGUAAUGGGAAAUUUGACGAUGGCGCCUUUUUGGCUUAGCAACUGUUGGUAAAUGGCAGAAGUGACAGACGAGAGGGACACGGUCUGGCAGGUUCCAGGUUCCAGUUUACUGUGGCAGAUCUAACCAGGGAUGAACCUUGGCGCUCCAGUUAUUGGAAGCAGCUCUACUGCUCACUGAAUCAGAGCAAAGAUUCUGCUUGGAGGUCAGUCUGUAACGCACGCUUACCAGCAGUGCCAAGAGGUCUUUGUGCAGGAUCAAGCCAUUUUGCCAGGUCCCGCUGGGUCAGCUCAAAAAGAAGACCAAGACCCGGUAAUCCCAGAGAAGUCCCAAAAGCAUCCUUGUCAACAAUCACAACACUCUGGGAUUAUCUCGCUGCCCGAGUGAAUGACAAAGAUUGGGUUUGGUACAGUGACUGAUGUCUCAGGAAGCUCAACCGCUCUUGAAUGCCUUUCUCAUUUGAAAUACAAUUUAAAAAAAGAAAACAAAAAAAAAAAAAGAUCAACUACCAAGUGAAAUGUCAAACAUGUCCAUUACCUGCCCUCCUGUGCAUGUGAUCAUUGUCUGCUGCAGAGUCAUACUUUCUGUUGGGAUUUAGAUAUCUGUGCUGAGGGAGAGAUAGGGAACACAACUGCCUUUCACAGAUUCCCCACUGCCAUCCCAUCUAGGCAAAUGAGGGCAAUUUCUCCAGCCUUGAUGAAUACAAUGGAGAGAUGUAUAGGAUGCAGGAAAGCCAAAAAACAUUCUCCUCACCAUGUCCUUGGCCCAUGGUUUUCACAGAUUACAUUAAUUUGCUCAGUACCAGCUGGAACCGGAGACCUACAAUGUCCACUAGAGAUGAGUGAGCAUCUCCAACAAACAAAUGACUGCAGCAUGAAACGGGAGGCCUUGAUCAAAAUAAAUAAAUAAAAGACGCGCUC